rnacentral:rRNA from 1 species
AAUUUUCCGCAAUGGGCGAAAGCCUGACGGAGCAAUACCGCGUGGAGGAUGACGGCCUGUGGGUCUUAAACUCCUUUUCUUAGAGAAGAAGUUCUGACGGUAUCUAAGGAAUAAGCAUCGGCCAACUCCGUGCCAGCAGCCGCGGUAAUACGGGGGAUGCAAGCGUUAUCCGGAAUGAUUGGGCGUAAAGCGUCUGUAGGUGGCUUCCCAAGUCAACUGUCAAAAACCAAGGCUUAACCUUGGGCCGGCAGUUGAAACUAUGAAGCUUGAGUUAGGUAGGGGCAGAGGGAAUUCCUAGUGUAGUGGUGAAAUGCGUAGAUAUUAGGAAGAACACCAACCGCGAAAGCACUCUGCUGGGCCAUAACUGACACUCAGAGACGAAAGCUAGGGGAGCGAAUGGGAUUAGAUACCCCAGUAGUCCUAGCCGUA